ACGGAAGGCAGCAGUGGGGGAUAUUGCACAAUGGGGGAAACCCUGAUGCAGCGACGCCGCGCGAGCGAUGAAGUAUUUCGGUAUGUAAAGCUCUAUCAGCAGGGAAGAAAAUGACGGUACCUGACUAAGAAGCUCCGGCUAAAUACGUGCCAGCAGCCGCGGUAAUACGUAUGGAGCAAGCGUUAUCCGGAUUUACUGGGUGUAAAGGGAGCGCAGGCGGGACAGCAAGUUGGAUGUGAAAUACCGAGGCUUAACCACGGGGCUGCAUCCAAAACUGUUGUUCUUGAGUGAAGUAGAGGUAGGCGGAAUUCCGAGUGUAGCGGUGAAAUGCGUAGAUAUUCGGAGGAACACCAGUGGCGAAGGCGGCCUACUGGGCUUUAACUGACGCUGAGGCUCGAAAGUGUGGGGAGCAAACAGGAUUAGAUACCCUGGUA
rnacentral:rRNA from 1 species